AUUUUCUGCCACCGAAUACAUUAGCAUGGGAUAAUGGAAUAGGACCCUGUCCUCCUAUUUUCAGUUGGUUUUGGCAGCGCGAGGACUAGGGUAAUGAUUAAUAGGGAUAGUUGGGGGCAUUAAUAUUUAAUUGUCAGAGGUGAAAUUCUUGGAUUUAUGAAAGAUUAACUUCUGCGAAAGCAUCUGCCAAGGAUGUUUUCAUUAAUCAAGAACGAAAGUUAGGGGAUCGAAGACGAUCAGAUACCGUCGUAGUCUUAACCAUAAACGAUGCCGACCAGCGAUUAGGAGACGUUGAAUACAAAACACCACCAUCGGCGCGGUCGUCCUUGGCGUCUCGGUCCUUCACGGGGCCGGGGCGCGGGGGCGGCUUAGCCCGGUGGCACCGGUGAAUGACUCCCUAGCAGCUAGUGAGA
rnacentral:rRNA from 1 species